rfam:Drosophila virilis strain TSC#15010-1051.87 Ctg01_15860, whole genome shotgun sequence.
GUUGUUGCGACAGCAUUCCUGCGUAGUACGAGAGGAACCGCAGGUACGGACCAAUAACACAAUACUUGUUCGAGCGAACAGUGGUAUGACGCUACGUCCGUUGGAUUAUGCCUGAACGCCUCUAAGAUCGUAUCCGUGCUGGACUGCAAUGAU